ACGAACGCUGGCGGCGCGCCUAAUACAUGCAAGUCGAGCGAGAAGACGUAGCAAUACGUUUGUAAAGCGGCGAACGGGUGAGGAAUACAUGGGUAACCUACCCUCGAGUGGGGAAUAACUAGCCGAAAGGUUAGCUAAUACCGCGUACGCUCCUUGGACUUCGGUUCAGGGAGGAAAGCGAUACCGUGGGUAUCGCGCUCUUGGAUGGGCUCAUGUCCUAUCAGCUUGUUGGUGAGGUAACGGCUCACCGAGGCUUCGACGGGUAGCUGGUCUGAGAGGACGAUCAGCCACACUGGCACUGCGACACGGGCCAGACUCCUACGGGAGGCAGCAGUAAGGAAUAUUGCGCAAUGGGUGAAAGCCUGACGCAGCGACGCCGCGUGGGGAUGAAGGUCUUCGGAUUGUAAACCCCUUUCGGGAGGGAAGAUGGAACGAGCAAUCGUUCGGACGGUACCUCCAGAAGCAGCCACGGCUAACUUCGUGCCA
rnacentral:rRNA from 1 species